rnacentral:lncRNA from 1 species
GAGGUUAGGAGUUCAAAACCAGCCUGGCCAACAUGGUGAAACCCUGUCUCUACUAAAAAUACAAAUACUUCACCACCACAGAGAGGAGACAGCAGAGUGGCUGCUCUUUCAGUUAUGAACUUAUACUUAGAUAUUUGUAGAGUUGGAGAAUAAAAUGACUUAGCUCUGGGUGAGAAAAUAAUUUUAAAAUCCAUUUAAUUCAUUUUCAGCUCAAUUAUGCCUAAGGAAACUAAAAAUAAGUGCAGUUUUUGAACUAUUA